AACGAACGCUGGCGGCAUGCCUAACACAUGCAAGUCGAACGAGACCUUCGGGUCUAGUGGCGCACGGGUGAGUAACGCGUGGGAACCUGCCCUUAGGUUCGGAAUAACUCCCCGAAAGGGGUGCUAAUACCGGAUAAUGUCUUCGGACCAAAGAUUUAUCGCCUUUGGAUGGGCCCGCGUUGGAUUAGCUAGUUGGUAGGGUAAAAGCCUACCAAGGCGACGAUCCAUAGCUGGUCUGAGAGGAUGAUCAGCCACACUGGGACUGAGACACGGCCCAGACUCCUACGGGAGGCAGCAGUGGGGAAUAUUGGACAAUGGGCGAAAGCCUGAUCCAGCAAUGCCGCGUGAGUGAUGACGGCCUUAGGGUUGUAAAGCUCUUUUACCCGGGAUGAUAAUGACAGUACCGGGAGAAUAAGCUCCGGCUAACUCCGUG
rnacentral:rRNA from 1 species